rnacentral:lncRNA from 1 species
AUGCCAGCUGUGGUUGCUAGAAUUGAUGAGCUGCACUGGUACCCACGGCAUGAGCAUCCUAUUUCUUCAACCAAAAAUCCAUCACUGUAUGAGGAGAAUCAAGAGCAUAAGAACUCCUUCAGACUUCAACCUGCAUGUGGAUUCUCAAGCAUCUUGCCAAAAUGCGGGACUGUGUUGAGAGGGCUAAAGUGGGGACUGAUUUUACAUUUCUGUCAGGUGAUGCUGAGAUUGCUGACCCAGUUACUUAGAGCACAACUGCCCAAGAUAGUCUCUGUUCCUUUCAAGCUCACGGAACUACCUCACAUUCAAAUUUUAAUGGAUUCGCAUCUGGUUUCCAUACCUACCACUGGUGAUGCCAACCUCUCCCUUGAUCCUCCACAGCAAGUCCUGAUGAUUCUAUGUGUAAGUCUUAUCUUCAAUCUGCUCUCUUAUUUCCUUUUCCACUGUCACCUUCCUCAUCUAUCAACUCUGGCUCUAGGGAGUGUCCCACUUCCUCUUGCCCUCAG